CGCGCGGCGCCGGGAGGCGACGGGAGACAACAGCUCCCCGCCGCCGGGCCUUCCAGCUUCCGGUCCCGGGAAGGAGCCCCGCCCCUCUUCCUUGGCCCCGCCCCCCGCGGGGCGAGGAUCCCGGAUGUUGCCGCCCGCGGCGCGCCGGCUCCCCGCCCCUUCUCUCAGGCCGCAGCCCUUCCGACUGCGCUACGGGUCCUGCGAGGCCUGGGAAGGGUGUCGCUGUCUCUGGGGUGGCUAGAGCGUCCUCCCGCGCGGCGCCGCGCUGCAGGUGACGGCGCCCGGAGGCUGUCGGGAAGGAGGCGGGGUGACGUGGGGUUGACGAGCCCGGCGGCGGGUUUGCGGAGCGCUGUGGCCGGCGGCAGCUGGUGCGGGGGGCGGCCGCGAGCGAGAGGCGGAUCGGGGCGGUGCGUGGCCGGGGCCAUGACGGGCAAUGCCGGGGAGUGGUGCCUCAUGGAAAGCGACCCCGGGGUCUUCACCGAGCUCAUUAAAGGAUUCGGUUGCCGAGGAGCCCAGGUUGAAGAAAUAUGGAGUUUAGAGCCUGAGAAUUUUGAAAAAUUAAAGCCAGUUCAUGGGUUAAUUUUUCUUUUCAAGUGGCAGCCAGGAGAAGAACCAGCGGGCUCUGUGGUUCAGGACUCCCGACUCGACACGAUAUUUUUUGCUAAGCAGGUAAUUAAUAAUGCUUGUGCUACUCAAGCUAUAGUGAGUGUGUUACUGAACUGUACCCACCAGGAUGUUCAUUUAGGAGAGACAUUAUCAGAGUUUAAAGAAUUUUCACAAAGCUUUGAUGCAGCUAUGAAAGGCUUGGCACUGAGCAAUUCAGAUGUGAUUCGACAAGUACACAACAGUUUUGCCAGACAGCAAAUGUUUGAAUUUGAUACGAAGACAUCAGCAAAAGAAGAAGAUGCUUUUCAUUUUGUCAGUUAUGUUCCUGUUAAUGGAAGACUGUAUGAAUUAGAUGGAUUAAGAGAAGGACCGAUUGAUUUAGGUGCAUGUAAUCAAGAUGAUUGGAUCAGUGCAGUAAGGCCUGUUAUAGAGAAAAGGAUACAAAAGUACAGUGAAGGUGAAAUUCGAUUUAAUUUAAUGGCCAUUGUGUCUGACAGAAAAAUGAUAUAUGAACAGAAGAUAGCAGAGUUACAAAGACAACUUGCAGAGGAGGAACCCAUGGAUACAGAUCAGGGUAAUAGUAUGUUAAGUGCUAUUCAGUCAGAAGUUGCCAAAAAUCAGAUGCUUAUUGAAGAAGAAGUACAGAAAUUAAAAAGAUACAAGAUUGAGAAUAUCAGAAGGAAGCACAAUUAUCUGCCUUUCAUUAUGGAAUUGUUAAAGACCUUAGCAGAACACCAGCAGUUAAUACCACUAGUAGAAAAGAUAUUCUGAUAUAGGGGAAGGAUUCUUUAAUAAGUUCCCCAAGUGAUUCUAAUGCAACUGGUCUGUGUACCACAUUUUGAGAAACACUUUGAGAAGACACUACUAGGCAAAUAAAAUUUUGGACCAUUAACUUACAGACAAGAAUACAUGGCAAAAGAAAAACAGAAUGCAAAGAAAGCUCAGGAAACCAAAUGAAGAGGAUGUUUUGGGAUAUGUACACAUUUCUGCUCCUGCACUUAUUUUCAUGGAAAUCAUUAUGUAUAAAGAACUUUGAGCAACAACCUAAUUGGCUCAGUGCACGUUUGGUAAUAGUGCCUGUCUGUCUUGUCUUUAAUGCAUGAAUUCAUAAACUUCUUCCCUACCUGCAUCAUGUGCAUGUAGUGCAUACUAAAUGAAAGUGAUGUUAAGAGUGCUUGCCCAAAUUCCAUUAUUUGACAUUGAAUCUGAGAACUGUUUGUUUUCUGGAUGUAUAACUACCUUAAUGAAGCUAGAAAAUGCACAAAUGAUAAUCCUUAUCUGUAAUUUAAAUACUUAAAAUUUGUAAUUGUCAGAUCUUGAUUAAACUGGAUCUCUUAUUUCUUCUCAUCAUUAAUGGAAAAAAAAUCAGUAUUUCUAUCUUUGAUAUCUAAGUGUUUUGAGGAUUUUAAAACUGAAUUUUAUCUGCUAUACCAGUUAUUUGAAAAAGUAUGAUUUUAAUGUAAAUCAUUUAAAAAGGACAAAGUAUAAUUUCCAGUGAUUUUUCAUUGCUGUCAGUAGAAAAGUAAUAAACAUCUCAAUUUUAUUUUAGUAAAAUUUCUUCAAGUGUUUGGGGUUAUUUGUUUAUGUAUUAGAGAAUUGUUUCAGGAAGAUCUGAGUAUUACGCUUAAAAGCAGAAUUUCAGGUUAAGAAGAAAUUGUAAAUCUUAAAGAGUGUUACUGUUACUCUCAGUGGAGUAUUUUUUCAAGCUGUUAAGCUGUGUAUAAAAAUUUGGAGGUUUGACAGUUCAUGCUAUCUGCUUUUUUAAAAAGGUGGUAGUGGUGAUGGGGCAUCUUUCUAUGCCAGUUUGAAUAAGUUCGGACAGGCUGCAGUUUCCAAGAGCCAUAUACAAUUUGCUCACAAUUGAUUUUUUAAAAUUGUUUUUGGGAGUUGCUUUGUAUAAUAUUCUUGCUUCUAAUCUUCCUUUCCAAGUCAGACUUUAAAGAAAACUUUAUAAAACUUAUUUUAAAGGAAGUAAUCUACUUUUUUCUUUAUCAAGAAUAUUUCUGAGGUUGAUACAUGACUUUUUACCAUUUUAUUAUUUAUUGUAAAAUAAACUUAACAUAACUUAUUUGUUAGGGAGAAAUGUAUACCCAUCUUCCAAUUUCAACACAUGAAUUUUUAAGGAUUAUUUUUAAGCUUAGUAAUUGUGGUAUUAAAUAACAGAAUUAAUGGAGAAAAACUUGAUGGGAAAUUGAUAGAAAAAUUAAUGAAAUAUUUUUUGUACGUAAUUUCAGUUGGAGGUAAUGAAAAAUAUGUAGUUUCUCAGUUGUUUAUGGGUAAAUAUGUUUUGCUCUUGAAACAGUAAUUAUGGAGUGUUUUCAAAGCCAUGAUAUAAUGUUAAAAAAUGGAUUUUUAAGGAAGGCUCAUCUUAAUCCCAUUCAUGUAUUUCAGCUUAAUUUAUAUAUCCUUUCCUAGUGAGGCUUAAAUUUUGUAAAGCAGUGUGAGGAUUAUUGUGGUAAGUUGUAUUUAGUAAUCAGUAUGGUGUGAUACUAGCACUAGGAGUGACAAAUAAAUCAAUGGAAUAGAAGAGAGAGCCUGAAAACAGAUUAACAUGUAUAUGAUCACUUGAUUUUGACAAAGGUGGCAAAACAACUUAACAGGGAAGGAAAGUCUUUUCAACAAAAGGAGCCAGAAUAGAAUAGCUGAAUAUCCACAUAAAAAAAAAUGAACAGUGACCCCCUCCCUCACAAAAAUGACUUUGGGAUGAAUCAUAGACCUAAUGUAUUGUUUUAAAAGUAUGAAGCUUUGUAACUGAAAACAUAUGUGAUUAUUUUUAUGACUUGGGGGAUUAGCCAAAGGUUUCUUAGGUCCCAGAAAGCAGUAACCAUAAAAGAUCCAAAAUUAGAGCUCAUCAAAAUUGUCAUUGAAAAUUUUAAUAAAAGUAGUAUCAAAUGACAUUUGAAAAAUAGUUUUGUGAAACUAUAUUAAUAGGUAUAAAGAUUUUUUCUUAGUAAUCUAAUAAAAUUUCUUAAUAGGAAUUUCCAUAGCUUAAGAAUCGUGUAUUUUAUCUGCAUCUUCUUUGAUAAUUGCAAAUGCCUUGUGCUACUUCAUGAUUAUUCUGUCUGUGAAUAAAAAAGUAUGACUUGUCUUUGUCUGGGUGCUAUAUAUUGCUGGUUUGAAACUAAGUCAGGAAGCUAGUGGGUAGAGAAAAUGGAAGAAUAAAGAGCAACCCAGGAAUAGAUGAAUCUUAUGUCGAAACUUUUGUUAGUGAAUAUUUUAUAGAAAGUCUUGCUCUUUCUUUUCUAAAAUUUUAUUUAAUUAUUGGGUAGGUGAAGGCACUUCCAUUCUAUUUCAUGCCUUUCAAAACAGCCAAUUCUAAGGGAUGUACUUCUGCUGUUGUCAACAGAAAGCUUGGCAGCAGCUGUGACAUUGGCUGCUCUCACCUUAGAUGUUUGGUUCCCAAGAUAGCUGCCCUUUCUCCAGCAGCAGGCACCUGGACUGUGCCACUAGGAUAGACAAACAUUUGCUCGGGAAUCACAGCCAUGGGGACUUGCUCCCCUAGCUUGGGCCGUGGUACGUAUUUUUGUUUAUAUUAUGGGUGUUCCAUGCAGAUUAAUACUUUCAGUUAAUCCUCCUAGUUGCCUAUAACAUUAACAUUUCGAGAUAUUUUUCGAUUUUUUUUUUCCUGUAGGAGGCUUUGUUUCUUUUAUUUUACAAAAAAGGCUUUUAAUGUAUUCUCAAAAAAACAUUUAGAGAAACCAUAAGCAAAAAUAAAAUUUAAAUUACCUAGUUCUACCAACAGGAAUGAGCACAUUAACAUUUUGGUGUCUUUAGUGAUCUUUUUUCCUCAUACGUACACAUAUGUUUUUCUGCGUUAGUCUUGCUUGCCCUCCCCAUAGUCUGAAAUCAUUUUAUGUAGUUUAUAUCAUUUUUAAACUUGAUAUACAAGUUUUCAGGAAACAAACUACUCUAGCUAUUUGAAGAGGAAUGCAGACUUAUAUUGGGAAUUUUGAAACUACCUGGUUUCUUACAAAAUCAUUGGAAGGUUUAGAGGAGUGGUUUUAAGUUCGAGUCUCCAGAAAUGGCUCCCAUGCCAACAUACAGUAUUGGCGUACCUAGGGAACUGCUCCCCUUUGCAACUGUCAAGGAGUCCACUGCUGGAACUAUUGAUAUUAGAACAUGUUGCAGUAGUUGUGUUCCAGGAAUGAGGAGCCUGCAGUAACACCCAGUGGCUGUGCCCUGGAAUGCAGACAAGAUAAACCUUCUAUGUCUAAAUGCCUAAAAUAGGCAAACUGGAUAGUUGUAUUUUUAGAGUGACGUUUCAUUUUUUAGAGUAGUGUGAAUUCCUAGAUCAGUCAAAAAUGCAUGUUAUUUAGUUUGUACUUUAGUACAUUGUUAACUGGCCUAAAUCCAAUGACUGACAGGGUAAAGAUUCAUUUUUAGCAUACUGGACACUUUUUGUUUUUGACUUGAUUACAUUAACCUUUUGAAAACUAUUCAGUGAUUUAUUCAACCUACAUCUGUGUUGUUCCAGAUGCUAGAGGAUAGCAUAACAGGAUAAAGCCUCUGUUCUCAUGAUGAAACAGAUAAGUAUAUAAUAUAACUUUUCAAAUACUAGUAUGAAUGGUAAAGUAGGGAAAAGGGGUGGGAGGAGCUGAGGUUUGAUAAGAUGGUCAUGGAAGAUCCCAUUAAUGAGAUGAGCUUCAGGGAAAGACCUAAAUGAAGACAAUUUUUUCUCUAGUACUGAACUAGCACUGUGCAAGUGGAUUGCCAAUAGGCAGAAUCAAUGUGCAAUAAUUCAGAAUAUUAAUUUGCAAUCAUGUUUGAUAGUUAAUUGGUUUUUGAAUAUUGAUAUGGAUUGUCAAUAUGAAAAUAAGUUGAUUGAAAGUUAUAUAUGGAAA